rnacentral:pre_miRNA from 1 species
UAUUCAGAGAGAUAACAGUCACAUCUUUUCUAAAGUAACUGUGUCUUUUCUGAAUAGA